UACGUAGGUGGCAAGCGUUAUCCGGAUUUAUUGGGUGUAAAGGGCGUGUAGGCGGGAAUGCAAGUCAGAUGUGAGAACUCAGGGCUCAACCCUGAGCCUGCAUUUGAAACUGUAUUUCUUGAGUGCUGGAGAGGCAAUCGGAAUUCCGUGUGUAGCGGUGAAAUGCGUAGAUAUACGGAGGAACACCAGUGGCGAAGGCGGAUUGCUGGACAGUAACUGACGCUGAGGCGCGAAAGCGUGGGGAGCAAACAGG
rnacentral:rRNA from 1 species